UUGGGUUAAGUCCCGCAACGAGCGCAACCCCUGCCUGCCAGUUGCCAACGGGUGAAGCCGGGCACUCUGGCGGGACUGCCAUCGACAAGAUGGAGGAAGGUGGGGAGUGACGUCAAGUCAUCAUGGCCCUUAUGUCCAGGGCGACACACGUGCUACAAUGGCCGGCACAGCGGGAAGCGAGGCAGUGAUGCCAAGCGGAUCCCUUAAAGCCGGUCUCAGUUCGGAUUGAAGUCUGCAACUCGACUUCAUGAAGCUGGAAUCGCUAGUAAUCGCAGAUCAGCCAAGCUGCGGUGAAUACGUUCCCGGGCCUU
rnacentral:rRNA from 1 species